ensembl:lncRNA
AUAGCAUCAUCUUUUAGGGUUUGAAAUAGCUCAAUGGGAAUUACAUCACCUUCACUAGCUUUGUUUGAAGUGAUGAUUCCUAAGGCCCACUUGACUUCACAUUCCAGGAUGUCUGGCUCUAGGAAUGGAAUGGUGCUGGGAUCUAGUUAUUAAAAAAAAGAGCCUAUAUAUUUUAUAAUAUCAUAUACACUAAAGCAUUUAUGGAUGAAAUAUGAUGUCUGGGAUUUGCUCCAAAAACUUCCAGUGGAGGUGGGAGCUGUUAGUGUUGAACAGUGGUUGAGGUAUGGAUAAAACAAACUAUCCUUCUAAUUGGUGAUGCCAAAGGGAGACCGAACGAGGCCGGGUAUUCCGGUCCUGCUGUUCAUCUUGCUACCACGUGGUAGCGCUGUUGAAGACAGUCCAGUGGAAUAUAACAAGAGCGGCAGGCG